rnacentral:rRNA from 1 species
UCAGUUUUAUGGACCCUAUUGAAGCCUGACAUGGCGACUAUAAAGAACCAUGGAGUCCGGCCCUCGGGCAGGACGAUACCGCUGAAAUGCUGUGAUCAACUCAUGUUGUACCAGCAGCCCCUUGCAUAGGAGGCCCACAGAUCAAGCCGCGGUGGUCCGACCUGGAGUAACUAGGUCGGACUUCAAUAUGACCGGUCUCGCCUGUGAUGGUUGAGAGUUAACGUUCCGUAGGUGAACCUGCGGAAGGAUCAUUACCGAGUUAGGGUCUUCACGGCCCGACCUCCAAUCCUGUGCUUACCAAUCCAUGUUGCUUUGGCGGGCCCGCCUUGAGGGGCCGCCGGGGGUCUUACCACCCCUGGCCAGUGCCUGCCAGUAGCCAUUCUAAAUUCUUUAUAACUGUGUCGUCUGAAUGAUAAAUUCCAAUCGUUAAAACUUUCAACAACGGAUCCCUUGGUUCUGGCAUCGAUGAAGAACGCAGCGAAAUGCGAUAAGUAAUGCGAAUUGCAGAAUUCAGUGAGUCAUCGAAUCUUUGAACGCAUAUUGCGCCCUUUGGUAUUCCGAAGGGCAUGCCUGUUCGAGCGUCAUUAUCAACCAUCAAGCCUGGCUUGUCGUUGGACUCGUGGUCGUCAUGACCGGUCCGAAAGAUCAUGGACGGCGGUGAUUAGCCCCCGAUGCAACGAGCUUUUGAUAGCACGCAUUGAAGGGUUGGUCACCCCCGGCCUCACACUCCAUUUUCUCAGGUUGACCUCGGAUCA